AACGUAGGUGGCGAGCGUUAUCCGGAUUUACUGGGCGUAAAGGGCGCGUAGGCGGCCUUCUAAGUCAGACGUGAAAUCCCCAGGCUUAACUUGGGAACUGCGUCUGAUACUGGGAGGCUUGAGUGCGGGAGAGGGAUGUGGAAUUCCAGGUGUAGCGGUGAAAUGCGUAGAUAUCUGGAGGAACACCGGUGGCGAAGGCGGCAUCCUGGACCGACACUGACGCUGAGGCGCGAAAGCUAGGGGAGCAAACGGG
rnacentral:rRNA from 1 species